CUCAAAAUACGUAAGUGUUUCUCUCUGCCACCACCGUCUUCAUCAUCAUCUUCCCCUCUCUCCCUCUUUUUGCAUACAUCUCAGAAGAGCUCAUACUAAAUCAUAUUUUUUCUCACCACGGCUCUUCUAAUAAAUUUUUCUUUCUUUCUUUCCUUUUUUCUUUUCCUUUUUGUGAAACGCUUGCAAAACUCUGCUUUUAUCCACUCUUCUUCAUUAAUUUUUCUUUUUUGUGUGCUUAAUCUUGAAGAAGGGAUAAAACCCUAGAAAAAAAUGGGGGAAUCCAUGAGAAUGAUCGAUGUGGAGAAGCUGAUAUCUUACAGUGACGACCUAGUGGAGGUAUUGAAGGACAAAAAGGACAUUAACAACUUGACGCAGUGUUUUCAGCACUUUAACGAUCUCCGCUCACAUUGCGACGCUGAUUCCGAUGAGGUUCAUCGAUUGCUUCGAGAAUAUGAGGAAAAGAUAUAAGCGUGCAAGAAGAAAACAGAACAGGCAAAAUUGGAGGUUGCUGAUGGUGCUGAAAUGGAGUAUCUGUAGAAGUAAUACCAAGAAGAGCUUGAAAAAGAACGUGGACUUGAAGAGCAGCUUAGAUAAGUAUAUGACUUUUGAUAUAUAUAUUUAAUGUUUUGGUGUUAUGGUGUUUGAUUAAUUUGUUAAAUCUUCUUCUAUAAGAACACAGCUGUUAGCAAUGAGAUAACAUUAGCUUAGAUAAAUGCAAAAAUUGUUUUUAAUGAAGUAUUGGCUACUGCUGGAAGGGAUAUUAUCACAAAAGAUAUAUCUAGGCUACGUAGUGGCUGGCCAAUGCAAGAUGCAUUCCAUGUGAUCUACUCUGUUCCUUUAUCUUUUUUGUUUGUCUUAAUUUUCGAUGGCUAUCAAUUGAUUCCUUCUGUUUUUUUUCUUAAUUUGAAUAAGCAAUUUCUCAACAGACAUUGUUGUCAGUUUUAUUCUUAUAGCACCUGAUCUCUGUCCUUAAUCAGACUCGUGUCACUAAAAGUAGUGAUCCAGGAAAAGGAGAAAAUUCUUGUCUUGUUUCUGAAACUCAAUUAGAGGAUGAAAUUCUGCAAGCUGCUAUUUUUGCCCUUACUUCCUUCUUUAGGCAUGUUGACUAAUUGCAUUUAUUGAAAUUUAUCUUAUUUUUAUGGUCUUCAUAAUUUUAUGAUGUUUCAUCUUAAUUUCAAAGGUGGAGGUAAAGUUGGAAAGCGAGCUGUUGAACAUGGUUACUCUUCAGUUCUUGCUGCACUUGUACUGCAACUUGGCAGUUGUCAUGGUCUAGGUACCUCUGGUCGACAUGAACCACUACGUGCACUUUUAACUGCAUUUAAGGCAUUUUGUGAAUGUGUUGGAGAUCUUGAAAUGGGCAAGAUUUUGGCUAGAGACAGUGAGCAUAAUGAAAAGUGGAUUAAUCUUAUUGGAGAUUUAGCUGAUUGCAUUUCCAUGAAGAGACCAAAAGAGCCAUGCUUCCAAUAAUGCGUUAGAUGGGUUGAACAUGUUUGAUGGAACUGGUGGUCAUUACUUCCACACGGGGUCAAGGGGUCACCACUUGGUGUGGAUUCUUAUCUUUUUAAUUAUGGAAGCUGAAAAGUACUGAGGUAUCUUCUUUCAAAUGCAAGAUGGUGGCUGGCAGAGUAUAAGUUUGAUGGGUACAAAUUUGAUGGUGUGACUUUAAUAAUGUGAUACUUCGUCAUAACCUUGUAGAAGGGAUUCAGUCAGAAAGAGCAACCUCCAUAGUGAGCUUCAUUUGUGUUAGCUAUGUAAUAUGCAUAUGAUCUUUGGAGGUGGCAUGUAAUUUUGUUUUAAAUCUGAAUCUGUAACAAAGUAUCUUCUUAAUUAAGUAAAGUUUUAUGAAAAUGUUGCUUCUUGAGAAA